CAUGCAAGUCGAACGGCAGCGCGGGGCAACCUGGCGGCGAGUGGCGAACGGGUGAGUAAUAUAUCGGAACGUACCCUGGAGUGGGGGAUAACGUAGCGAAAGUUACGCUAAUACCGCAUACGAUCUAAGGAUGAAAGUGGGGGAUCGCAAGACCUCAUGCUCCUGGAGCGGCCGAUAUCUGAUUAGCUAGUUGGUGGGGUAAAGGCCCACCAAGGCAUCGAUCAGUAGCUGGUCUGAGAGGACGACCAGCCACACUGGAACUGAGACACGGUCCAGACUCCUACGGGAGGCAGCAGUGGGGAAUUUUGGACAAUGGGCGCAAGCCUGAUCCAGCAAUGCCGCGUGAGUGAAGAAGGCCUUCGGGUUGUAAAGCUCUUUUGUCAGGGAAGAAACGGUGAGGGCUAAUAUCCCUUGCUAAUGACGGUACCUGAAGAAUAAGCACCGGCUAACUACGUGCCAGCAGCCGCGGUAAUACGUAGGGUGCAAGCGUUAAUCGGAAUUACUGGGCGUAAAGCGUGCGCAGGCGGUUUUGUAAGUCUGUUGUGAAAUCCCCGGGCUUAACCUGGGAAUGGCAAUGGAGACUGCAAGGCUAGAGUUUGGCAGAGGGGGGUAGAAUUCCACGUGUAGCAGUGAAAUGCGUAGAGAUGUGGAGGAACACCGAUGGCGAAGCAGCCCCCUGGGUCAAAACUGACGCUCA
rnacentral:rRNA from 1 species